CAACUUUGCAACAUGCCAUAAUCCUUUGCGGCAUAGUAACUUCUGGUUUGUUUCAGGGUUAUAACUAAGUAUAAUAACAGCGCUAAAAUCGGAUUAAUUACCACCCAGAUAUGAUUCAAGUACGCUGAUGUUAUGUUUUGAGAACGUUACUUUCAUCAAGAUCAUUCACUAGAAUUGGUUUGGCUGCUAGUACACCCGGGACAGCAAGUGGACAGUGAUGGACAACUAGUGCUGGUCGAAAGACCACCGUUGGCUGGACAGCUUUUGUUUAUUGGACCGCAAUUUUGGUUGGACCAUGAAUGUUGGUUAAACACCUAUUAAUACUUGGACUGUGUGCCAUGAGAAAUAUUUUUGUAUGAAGAUUGGACAUUGUCAAUCCACCAUUCCAGGGUGAUGUGUAUUGAAGUUGGAACGUUCAUAAAACUAUCGAAAUUUCCCUGAUGUUUUUUCGGUUCUGAAUCUUUUACUUUUUCUAAUGGUUUUAUGAAAAGGGGUGCAUAUUCUACACCUGGAAUAGCCACCACCAUUUUCCCUAAGAGUUUUGCAAAUUCUGUUAUAGCUGUUUUACUUGUUACACGCAUAUUUUGGCACAUAAGUUGGAUUUCAGUUUUUCUUGUAGCCGUUAGCUGUACUGUCAUAGUUAAUGAACAUAAUAUAAAUCCUAAGAAAGUGAUUUGUUGACAUGAUUCAAGUACAGAUUUCUCAAUGUUGAUGGUUAAACCUAACUUGUCAAACAAUGUAAUCGUGUAAAUAACAUUUUGAGCA